rnacentral:rRNA from 1 species
GUGUCAGCCGCCGCGGUAAUACGGGGGGAGCAAGCGUUGUCCGGAUUUAUUGGGCGUAAAGGGCGCGUAGGUGGACUUGUAAGUGAGGGGUGAAAUCCCGAGGCUUAACUUCGGAAUUGCCUUUCAUACUGCAGGUCUCGAGUACGAGAGGGGAAGAUGGAAUUCCUGGUGUAGCGGUGGAAUGCGUAGAUAUCAGGAAGAACACCAGUGGCGAAGGCGGUCUUCUGGCUCGUAACUGACACUGAGGCGCGAAAGCGUGGGGAGCAAACAGGAUUAGAUACCCUGGUAGUCCACGCCGUAAACUAUGAACACUAGGUGUUGGAGGAUUCGACCCCUUCAGUGCCGCAGCUAACGCGUUAAGUGUUCCGCCUGGGGAGUACGGUCGCAAGGCUGAA